CCGAGUAUGUCGUAAGAGNUGUAGNGAUUGUCGGUCGCUGGAAUCCGGAGCUCACAUUGGUUUGAAGUGGGCCGGCAGACUAGUNGCGGUAGGGGAGAUUGAAUUCUUGGUGUAGCGGGGAAUGCGCAGAUAUCAGGAGGAACCAGAUGGCGAAGUCAGAUCUUUGGCCCGUUACGGAUGUGAGGAGCGAAAGGGUGGGGAGCAACNAGGUUAAGAUCCCUUGGUAGUCCACCCUGUANCCUUUGGGAANUAGUUGNGGGGUCCAUUCGAGGGAUUCCGUGAUGCAGCUAGCGCUUUAAUUUCCCCUCCUGCGGAGUACGCCCGCAAGGCUAAAUCUCAAAGGAAUUGUGGGGGUCCGGCUCAAGCGGCGGACCAUGCGGAUUAAUUGGAUGCACCGCGAAGACCCUUACCAAGGCUUGACAUAUCGGAGAACGGGCCAGAAAUGGUCAUUUCUUGGGACUCUCGUAACCAGGUGGUGCAUGGUCGUCGUCAGCUGGUUUCGUGAGAUGUUGGGUUAAGUCCCGCACCGAGCCCAUCCCUCGUUCUAUGUUGCCAGCCGGUAAUGGUGGGAACUCAUGGGAUACUUCCGGGGUCAACUCGGAGGAAGGUGGGGAUGCCGUCAAAUCAUCAUCCCCCUUAUGUCUUGGCGCUUCACGCAUGUUACAAUGUCCGGUCCAAAGGGCUGCAAUCCCGUGAGGUGGAGCGAAUCCCAAAAAGCCGGUCCCAGUUCGGAUUGAGGUCUGCAACUCGCCCUCAUGAAGUCGGAGUCGCUAGUAAUCGCAGAUCAGCAACGCUGCGGUGAAUACGUUCCCGGGUCUUGUACACACCGCCCGUCAAGUCAUG
rnacentral:rRNA from 1 species